rnacentral:rRNA from 1 species
UACGUAGGGGGCAAGCGUUGCCCGGAUUUAUUGGGCGUAAAGCGCUCGCAGGUGGUUCGUUGCGUCGUGCGUGAAAGACCCCGGCUCAACUGGGGAGGGUCGUGCGAUACGGGCGAACUGGAGGCCAGUAGGGGGAUGCGGAAUUCCGGGUGUAGUGGUGGAAUGCGUAGAGAUCCGGAGGAACACCAGCGGCGAAGGCGGCAUCCUGGACUGGUCCUGACACUCAGGAGCGAAAGCGUGGGGAGCGAUCCGG